UACGUAGGUGGCAAGCGUUGUCCGGAAUUAUUGGGCGUAAAGGGCGCGUAGGCGGCCUGGUAAGUCAGAUGUGAAACCCCCGGGCUUAACUUGGGGCAUGCAUUUGAAACUGCUGGGCUUGAGUGCAGGAGAGGUAAGUGGAAUUCCUAGUGUAGCGGUGAAAUGCGUAGAUAUUAGGAGGAACACCAGUGGCGAAGGCGACUUACUGGACUGUAACUGACGCUGAGGCGCGAAAGCGUGGGGAGCAAACAGG
rnacentral:rRNA from 1 species